AAUGAACGUUGGCGGCAUGGAUUAGGCAUGCAAGUCGAGCGAGAAGUGUAGCAAUACACGGAAAGCGGCGGAAGGGAGAGUAAUACGUGGGAAUCUGCCCUUAGACCUGGGAUAGCAGCGGGAAACUGCUGGUAAUACCAGAUAAUGUCUAUGGACCAAAGGUGUGAUUCCGUCUAGGGAUGAGCCCACGUCCUAUUAGCUAGUUGGUAGGGUAAUGGCCUACCAAGGCGAUGAUGGGUAGCGGGUGUGAGAGCAUGACCCGCCUCACUGGGACUGAGACACUGCCCAGACACCUACGGGUGGCUGCAGUCGAGAAUCUUCGGCAAUGGGCGCAAGCCUGACCGAGCGAUGCCGCGUGCGGGAUGAAGGCCUUGGUUGUAAACCGCUGUCGAGGGGGAGGCAACUUCCAUAGAGUUAUCUUUAUGAUUGAGUGAUCCCUGGAGGAAGGACGGGCUAAGUUCGUGCCAGCAGCCGCGGUAA
rnacentral:rRNA from 1 species